CAGCAUAUACCGCAUCAAACGACGUCGUUCGGAAGCCUUUUCCUCCGGUUUCUUCGGGUCUUCGAACACAAGGCAAUCGGCAGAUAAGAGGUAGGAACACAGGGAGGGAACGGAGAGUCCGCUGGGGAGGAAUAAACAAAAGACAAGCAGAAGGAAGGGAGCUAAAGGCAGUCUUCGGGGAGGCACCGAGACAGAAAUCCUGAAGGGAAGCUUCUGAGUUCACUAGCUGUCGAGGCUCCAGUUUUUUCUACCUAGGAAAGGUUGAUUUGGUGAUUGUCUAGGAAAGGUGACUGUUUCUUCUGAUCAGUUGGAUAUUAACUAACUGAGAACCAAGUUUGUGAAACGGGUUUUAGAAAGGCAUCUGAUAAAGGUACGGGGCAGUUCCUUAAAACAAAUAAGCGGAGGAGGAAUUGAAAAAGAAAGCGGGAAUAAUCUUGGUAAUGAAGUUAUAAGAUCAGCAUUUCCUACUCGUUUUCAUUUAACUAAAAUUCUUUGCUGGUGUUUGUAUCAAAUGUUUGACUGUGAAUUUUUGAGAUAUAUGCUUUAUCAGUUAGUCUCUUCCGAUGUAUGCAUCUUUGCCAUUGACAUUCCAAAAAUGACUUUCAAGAUUUUAUUUAUAGCCCUUUACCUUCCAUUUCACCGUCUGGUCUAGGCAUGUAAACAUUUAAAAGUCACAAAUAUAUAUUGAGACCCUCUUAGGCUAUGCACGUUCACAUUUCGCUGAACAAGUAGUGAACUUUUGACCUGCUGUAGUUCGAAGAUCCUGAACAUGUUUUUUAGAGGCUUGAAAUGUGUGCUAUUUGCCUUCACUUGUUGUUUGUGUGACUUGAAAUGGCAUGCACCAUGCAUUUUUCCUUUCAAAACUGAAUAAGGCUAUCCAGAUGCACAGACAUUUUUCUUUCUUGUUCUUUUGGUCUUUAUUACGCUAAUCAUGCAUUAAACUUAUCAAUUGAAGGGUUCCUAUUAUUUGUCUGAUCUGGAUAUUGGGUGGAUUAAAAUAUGGGAUUAGGCUGUAACUUUGAAAAGAAUGAUGGGCUGCACCUUUGCGGUUUGAGAUAUUCAGAGCAAUCUAUGUGUUUUCCCUAGAAUGAUUGAGUCCUGUCCAAAUCGUCCUUUCAUGAACAGUUCUAGUGUAAGUUAGUACCUUCUCUUUUCAAAGCAGGUUUUAUGGGAAACUCUUUUUUCCCCUUCUCUUGAAGGUUUAAAGGAAUAAUGGUGGUUUUUUGGGUUCCCUUUCUUAAACCAUGAUUCUAAUACACUCGAAGAAUAUUUCUGAACUUCAAUCCAAAGCUCUCCAUUUUUUCGAUUUACUUUCAUUUUCAUUUUUGCAGAUUGUUUGUCCAAAUGAAAAUUGGUUUUAAGUUUUUCCCUUUUUGAAAUUUCCUUUCUUUCAGUAACUCAUCUUUUUUCCUAUCAAUGACUUUUUAUCCUAGAAUAAUUUUAGAUUAAAUGGAAAUCGUUUAUCAUAUGUUGCAAUGAUGCAUAAUUAAUUCAUUUUUUGUUGUAAGUAUGAUCUUAAAUAUGCUUCGUUAUGGAGCCAUUCCAAAUUUCCCCUUAAUGUGUUUGCAUUGUUUCUCUUCUUUGCUUACUGUUUGGGCUGUUCGCCACUGUUUGCAUUAAAUUUCCAGCUUCCUUUGAUUUUUUUAUCGUAUUUCUGCUAGAUUAUGUUCUAUCCAAUGUUAGGAGGUUUUAUAUGACUAAAAAGUCCCUUUUGCUUAAUGUUCAGUAACAUUUUUACCAUUGAAAUCUGAGCUCUUUUGGCAGCUGGUUGGUGGCUGCCAAAUCAGCUUACAUGAGCACAUUUAAUGUUCAUAAAUAGAGGAAAAUUGUUUGCUAAUAGAGGUCAGCAGUUGCUUGGUAUGUAGGAGUUAGCCACAUUUUGGAGGUCAAAAAAGGAAAAGGAGAAGUGAGAAAACACGGGCUGUUUUGAGCUCCUAAACAUGUUUACUUGGUAAAUGUUUUGAACCCAAAUAAAGAAAAAUUUUGCUUUUCAUGUGGUCCUUAAUAGGUCGUAAAACCGUUCUUCUCAUACUGCUUUUGGUUUGGUUAUUGCUUUUGAUUUGGAUGAAUCUCUUGGUCUUUUCACAUUCCUGCAUUCAUUAAGAUAAGCAUAGCGAUAGGCUAGAUGAGAUUCAUUCUCCUUUCUCAUCAUCCUUACUCCCCUUAAUCAAUAAGUUUCAUUUUUUGUACUAAACAGUAAGUAGAAUAUUUUUUCAAUAUCUACAACUGACAUGGUUUCUCCUUUUUCCAUUUACUUUGUAACACAAUUUAGACUCCUUACUUUCUUAUAGAGUUGAUCCAUUACUCUUCUCAUUGUCGGAUAUAAGAAUCUUGGACAUGUAUGUAAUUUGUAACUUGAAAUUCAUUUCUCGUAGAUAGGUUAAAUUAUGCAUGUUCUACAUUUUGGAAAAUUCUCUUUAUUACUCCAUGACUAGGUGGAUGUAGGUUAAAUUGUUUUUCUAUGGUUAAUUCCUUUCCUUGCUUCGAGUUGGGUUGUGUAUGCCUUCUUUUCCCCCCCUUUUUGUCAACUAACUUUUAGAUCAGAAAUCUUGGUUACUUACAAAUUUCAUUUACUUUUGAAUAGGAUCUAUCGAACUUCAACCAUGUAUUUUGAUGUAAAAAAAAAUUUGCAGUCUAGUUAGCUCGCUUACACCACAAAAUGGGUGUCUAACACAUUCUCACAUUAUGAAAA